AGUCACUGACAUUAGUACCCGCGUAGUCCCAGCCGUAAACUAUGCGCGUUAGGUGUAUCGGUGACCACGAGUCACCGAGGUGCCGAAGGGAAACCGUGAAACGUGCCGCCUGGGAAGUACGGUCGCAAGGCUGAAACUUAAAGGAAUUGGCGGGGGAGCACAACAACGGGUGGAGCCUGCGGUUUAAUUGGACUCAACGCCGGACAACUCACCGGGAACGACAGCAAUAUGUAGGCCAGGCUGAAGACCUUGCCUGAAUCGCUG
rnacentral:rRNA from 1 species